GACGAACGCUGGCGGCGUGCUUAACACAUGCAAGUCGAACGAAGUGGCGAACGGGUGAGUAACGCGUAAUCAACUUGCCCUUCAGCGGGGGACAACAGUUGGAAACGACUGCUAAUACCCCAUACUGAAGGAGGGGAUUGCGUCCGAUUAGCUCGUUGGAGGGGUAACGGCCCACCAAGGCGAAGUUCAGUAGGCGGUCUUGAGGGGGGAACGGCCACAAUUGGACUGAAGAACGGCCCAGACUCCUACGGGGAGCAGCAAGUGGGAAACGUUCGGCAAUGAAGAAAGUCCGGCGCAGCAAAGCCGCGUGAGGGAUGACGGCCUUCGGGUUGGUAAGCUCUGUUAAUCGGGGCGCGGUACCUGAAUAGAAAGCCACGGCUAACUACGUGCCAGCCGCCGCGGUAAUUC
rnacentral:rRNA from 1 species